ensembl:lncRNA
UACCACUCCACUUUUCAGAAGAGAUAAAUGAAGCUCAGAGAGGUGUGUUGACAUUUCACAGACACACAGUUAGUAGGUGAGAGACUCACCACUGUGCUAUGGAGGGGCUGGCACUCACCUGUGGAACAGCUGGUCCAGGACCUGUUGGGUGGUGGUGAAGGUGGCAAUGGUACGUGGAUGAGAAGGUGGUGAUGUAGGAGAUGUUUCCAUCCAGGAAGGCUGGUACCAGGGCCUCUGCUAGCUUCUCUGUUAUGCCUUGUCUUGGGGGUCUGCGUUGUGCAGGUCUCAUCCUGUGCCAGAGUUGACUCCUUUUCACACCGAGUGGACAAGGAGGGACAUAUAGUUAGUGGCAUCACCGUGAGCCACCAGGAAGAUCAGGGUUUGGAGUUCAGACCAGAAGCUCUCAUCACCUCAGGAACUUGGGCAAGAGGAGGGACAUGAGAGCCCACACAGAAAAAGGUUCUAGGCUUUAACAGCAUCAUUUGAUUUUGGGGAGAAUGAUAAACAACUGGUACCUUCCAGGCAUUUUUUGAGCUGAGAAACAAUAGCACGUCCCAGUAUUAAUAGCCUGUGUUAAGUGCAUUAUCCCAGUGAAUCAUCAACAAACUUCCCCACUGUAGAUAUUGGAAAACAGAGGGUUAGAGAUUUUAAGUGGCUGCUCCAGAUCACGCAGGUCAGAACCUAGGACUGUCCAUAGCAUGGGCUACAUGACAUUCCCUCUCAACCGGAGGCUUGGUCUGCUCCUGACAUGGAGGGGAAGGCUCUGGGGAAACUGCAUUCCUGGGAGGAUCCCAGGGCUGUCACCAGAUUCCAGUCUGGGUUCUGGGUCCACCCCAGUCACCUGGGAGUCCUGGAUGUGGAGACCCCUGUGUGCCCCUACUUACCCAAGAUCACGGUUGGCUGUUGUUGGUUGCCAGAUGCAUCUGCCCCUUGUCUAGGGAGGUGGAGUAGUUGAAGCCAUCAAUCGGCUCCUCGACGAUGUCCUGGGUGGAGCUCUACUAAGACAGAGCCUGGUGCUGGGCCAGUAAGCAUCAGGGACUUUCCACCCAAUUGGUGGUUCUAUGUUAUGGCAGACCUAGUAAACUAACAGGCUAUGAGGACACACUUCAGAUGUUCCCUGCAGCACUGCUGAAAUGGCAACAGAAUUGAAUCAUGUCAAGGUCCAACAACAUUGAAAGGUUGAAUUGCUGUGGCAAAUGACUUCCUUUAUGAGAUAUUGUGAAGUCACAUAAAGCCACAGCUCCUGAUCUGACAGACCUACAAUGAUUAGAUGUGUUCUGUGAGGUGACAAGUUGCAGAGAAAUGUAUAGAAUCAAGUAAUCCCACGCCCCUCCUUUGUGUAGAAGUCACCCUCUGAAGUGUGAUGAUUUGUAAGGCUUGGAGAAGCUCUGCAAGGACAGUGGAGCUGAUUGUUCCACAGGAUACCUGGAGUGAGUCAUUAAAAAAAUCAAAACAGUGGCAAAAUGCUGAUGCUCUUAAAAAGCGGCCUUGUGAAAAGUGAAAGCAACAUUAAAUAUUUUCUCUACCAUUCCAACAAGAAAGUGAGGAGUAUAUUUCUACUCUACCAUGUAGUGGACUGGUAGCUCCUGGAAGACAGAGACCACUUGGCCAUUUUCAGCACUGGACUUGGACACUCCAAGGUAACUAGGAGAGUUUGGAAGGACAUGCAUGUUUGUGCAGAAAAACUGGUGACCCUGAAAACAUGACUGGACAGGACAUCAAGCUCUCUUGUGAAUAUUCCUCUCAUCAUAACAAUGAAGAAAUUACUGAGCAUGAAGGAGAUAUGAAGUGAAUGAUAUUGACAUUGUUCAUUCAUUGUCCCUUUAGUAUUUAGGACAAAUGUUUUAAGAGAGGGAGCUAUUUUUUAGAGCAAUAGAAUCAUAUUUGUAGGUAGCAUUAGAAGUUUUCAUGCAGAAACAGGAAGAUAAUUCAGUAAUGAAACAAAAUACACUAACCAAUUCUUCACCUCAUUGAAUAAACCCCCUCACUCAUGGACACCAAUCUGCCAUGCUUUCAUA